rnacentral:lncRNA from 1 species
UGCUGGUAAGGUCAGUGGGUGCAAGGGAAAGGACUUGGCCUUUCAAGGGUGCCCCACACUCUGCACAAAGACCCUCCAGCCGCUGGUCCCUGCUGGCACCAUUGCCUCCCUCUAGGUGGUCUGGGCUGCUGAGGGCAGAUGUGGACGGGAUCCCACAGCCCCGGGACUGGCUCGCCGUGUUCUCUUUCCCAGGGCCUUAGGGCCGAAGCUUGGAUACGGCCUGGUCAUCUCCCGCACCUCCCCACCGGCAGCAGCUUCACCGCCACCCUCCAGAGUCCCUAGCCGCCCAACUCAGCAACUCGGGCACAAGACAGUCACCGGCUGGGUGAAUGGCUCUUCCAGACACAGAGACAGCUCCAGACAGGAGACAGGAACUGGCCGAGGCUUCAGUCUCCUGCUUUGGCACUUGUGAGACUUUUCACCUGCACCAACGUGGCCCCAGCACCUCCCACCGCCGGCCAGUGAGGCGAGCCAGCUGCUUGAGUGUCCAGAGGCUGCUCCCCGCCCAGCCUGCCUUGCUGUGUGCCCACAAGCCUGAUGGCCCAGAGACGUUUGUCAGAGGAAUGCCUGACGGCGUGAGUGAGCGGACGUCUUCCUCCGUGAAUUGCCUUGCUGCCUACGGAGGCAGGACCAGAGGCUCCCUACCUGGCUGUCGGAACUAUGGGACGAUAGGGUGGCCCACUGUGUCCACCCCACCACCUCCCG